UACAGAGGGUGCAAGCGUUGUUCGGAAUUAUUGGGCGUAAAGGGCGCGUAGGCGGUGCGGUAAGUCUUUUGUGAAAUCUCCGGGCUCAACUCGGAGUCUGCAAGAGAAACUGCCGUGCUGGAGUAUGGGAGAGGUGAGUGGAAUUCCGAGUGUAGAGGUGAAAUUCGUAGAUAUUCGGAGGAACACCAGUGGCGAAGGCGGCUCACUGGUCCAUUACUGACGCUGAGGUGCGAAAGCGUGGGGAGCAAACAGG
rnacentral:rRNA from 1 species